UACGAAGGGGGCUAGCGUUGCUCGGAAUCACUGGGCGUAAAGCGCACGUAGGCGGCUUUUUAAGUCAGGGGUGAAAUCCUGGAGCUCAACUCCAGAACUGCCUUUGAUACUGAAGAGCUUGAGUCCGGGAGAGGUGAGUGGAACUGCGAGUGUAGAGGUGAAAUUCGUAGAUAUUCGCAAGAACACCAGUGGCGAAGGCGGCUCACUGGCCCGGUACUGACGCUGAGGUGCGAAAGCGUGGGGAGCAAACAGG
rnacentral:rRNA from 1 species